rnacentral:rRNA from 1 species
CAGUCGCCACGGGAAUACGGAGGGCGCGAGCGUUACCCGGAUUUACUGGGCGUAAAGGGCGUGUAGGCGGCCUGGGGCGUCCCAUGUGAAAGGCCACGGCUCAACCGUGGAGGAGCGUGGGAUACGCUCAGGCUAGAGAGUGGGAGAGGGUGGUGGAAUUCCCGGAGUAGCGGUGAAAUGCGCAGAUACCGGGAGGAACGCCGAUGGCGAAGGCAGCCACCUGGUCCACUUCUGACGCUGAGGCGCGAAAGCGUGGGGAGCAAACCGGAUUAGAUACCCGUGUAGUCCCUGUCUCUUAUAC